UACGUAGGGUGCGAGCGUUGUCCGGAAUUACUGGGCGUAAAGAGCUCGUAGGUGGUUUGUCGCGUUGUUCGUGAAAACUCACAGCUUAACUGUGGGCGUGCGGGCGAUACGGGCAGACUGGAGUACUGCAGGGGAGACUGGAAUCCUGGUGUAGCGGUGGAAUGCGCAGAGUAUCAGGAGGAACACCGGUGGCGAAGGCGGCAUCCUGGACCGACAUUGACGCUGAACGGCGAAAGCUAGGGGAG
rnacentral:rRNA from 1 species